CCGAAAUUUAUUCCUUGGAGUUCUAGAGGCUGGAAAGUCCAAGAUCAAGAUCUGGCAGUCCUCACUUUCUGGUGAGGGCUCUCUUCCUGGCUUGAAGACAGACGCCUUCUCACUGUGUCCUCACGUGAUGGAGAGAGAGGGGAACUGAUGUCUCUCCUUACACGGGCACUAAUCCCAUCAUGAGAGUUCCACCCUCAUGACCUCCUCUAAAUCUAAUCACCUCUCAAAGGUCCCCCUCCACAUACCAUCACAUUGAGGGGUAAGCCCUCAACACACGAAUUUUGUGGGACACAGUUCAUCCUAAUCCUUGGCAUUCCUGAGGGUGGCAUCUCCCUAAGGUGCCUUCAUGCCACCUGGGGCUUCUGAGAGCAGGAACCAAAUGGAAUUUGGUGAGUUUUAUUGUGGCAUCUUCCUACCUUCCUGAAGGGUCUCCUUGGAGACAUGGCUCCUGACUUCUUUGAGGUCUAAAAUGGUCAUCUUUGAGAGUUAGAUAAUUAGCAUGCAUCCUCUCCUCACACAAGGGUGAAUAUAUUUGCAGGGACUUUGUGGGCUUGCGGGGCCUCACGUGGAGAAACCCUGCAGGGUCGGCUCUGAUCUGAGCACUGUGGAGCCCUGCAGAGCCUGACAGGGCCUUGAGUCCAGAGAGCAGCUGAGCUUGUGGGUGAGCCCCCAGGCAAUCCCUUCCAGCCUCCUCUCUCUCCUGUCUGAUCCCCCCAAAUUCUGAGAGUCUGUCUGUCCAUCUGACAGGCAGCUGGUGACCAGUAGGUUGGUCAUCAGUAGGUCAGGUGGGCCACGCUGCUCGGCCAAUCAGGAUCAUCUGGCAGUUGGGCCCUUGGAGACAGAAUCAGUUAAACUGACAGAGCCUCCACCAGGUGGCCCAGUGUCUCAGUGAGUCAGGGCUGUUUGUUCAUCCAGGCUCAGUCAGGAGGGCAGUUCGGGAAUGUUCGUGGUCAGGGAGGCGGUGAAAGGUCAGCAGGUCAGGGCACGCAGGGACAAAAUGUGUGCCUGCCCUCAGCCUUGGAGAAGUCCAGACACCUGGCUGCUUGUGGGCAGGCAGAGGAGUUUGCGAGGAUGGGAAACUCAGUCUCUGCCUGGUAAAAGACAAGGACAGAGGCCCAGCUCUGAGGCCCCUGACAGGGCCAUGGUCACACAGAGAACCGGACACACCCACCACCUGGACCUGGGGCUGAGAGGCUCAGAGGAGGUGACAGGACUGAAGGAUCGGGUCACCAAGCUCCACAGACUCAGAGGGUCCUGCAGGUUCCCCGGCCCCUCCCACCAGCCUGCUCCUGCACUGCUCACUCCUCGGAGGGUCUUCAGUGGACAGGUAAGGCCUGAGCACUCACCUGGCUCCCCCAUUGUGCAGAUGGGCAGCCACUCUGCUCUAGGGACCAAUUUUCCCAGAUAAAAUGCCGGAUUCCCACCAUCCCAGGCUGCCUUAGGAUGCACAGCACCCCUUGCCCCUCAGCCCACCUAGCUUGGGCUCUGCAGUUUAGAUAACAGAAAUACACUCACUUGCUUUUCUGCCCCUUAGGGAGCCAGAGUCGUGGAAACAAAAUGCAACUUCUGUUAACCUGUUGGUUGUGAUAUGAUUUCUUAUAAUACUCAUAUGUUUGAAAGACCUAAUUCUAAGAAAACGGGAGGCAUUGCAAACAUAACAGUCAGCAGGUAGUCCUCAGAACCGAGCUUGUUCUUGCUGAUUCUGCUCUAGCUCGUGCUCAACUGAGCUGCAGGUAUCAGGUGGUCAGACUCUCAGAGGGACCAUCAGGGAGGGGACUCCUGAAGGCUGGACCCAUGCAACUCCUGCCCGAGCCAGUAGCCCCGGCCACGCUGCCUGGGGAGGGGAGGUGACUCAGGCCUGGCUGUGGGAUCUCCUCUCCCUACCGCCUGACCGUCCAUCUUAGCCUCUCACUUGGGACAGAAAAUGACGAACAGAGAACAAGACCCCAGAGAACCAACAGUCAACAGGAUCACCAAAGCCUUUCACUUCUCCUUUUGCCAGUUCACAGGUGUGGUGGACCCACUUUGGAUGCUGAGGGAGCUGAAGGAGGCAGCUGCGUGGCUGGCUCUCUCCUCCCAGAAGGGGGGACGGUGCCCUUCCUGUGGCCUCAGCUUCCGUCUCCCACACUGAGGGAGGCCGUGGGUGCCCAGAUGCCACCUCCCACUGGGGGCAGGACAGGACUUGGCUGACCCGGGGGAGAUUCUGCAUCUUCCAGCCUCUCCUGGGAACUUCUGCCCAGCAGGGCUGCCCCCUGCUGCCACCUGGUCUUAGGCCCUCACGUCCUGCAGAAAAAGGCCUGGACUCA
rnacentral:lncRNA from 1 species